UACGAAGGGACCUAGCGUAGUUCGGAAUUACUGGGCUUAAAGAGUUCGUAGGUGGUUGAAAAAGUUGGUGGUGAAAUCCCAGAGCUUAACUCUGGAACUGCCAUCAAGACUUUUCAGCUAGAGUAUGAUAGAGGAAAGCAGAAUUUCUAGUGUAGAGGUGAAAUUCGUAGAUAUUAGAAAGAAUACCAAUUGCGAAGGCAGCUUUCUGGAUCAUUACUGACACUGAGGAACGAAAGCAUGGGUAGCGAAGAGGAUUAGAUACCCUCGUAGUCCAUGCCGUAAACGAUGUGUGUUAGACGUUGGAAAUUUAUUUUCAGUGUCGCAGCGAAAGCGAUAAACACACCGCCUGGGGAGUACGACCGCAAGGUUAAAACUCAAAUGAAUUGACGGGGACCCGCACAAGUAGUGGAGCAUGUGGUUUAAUUCGAAGAUACGCGCAGAACCUUACCAACACUUGACAUGUUCGUCGCGACUCUAAGAGAUUAGAGUUUUCGGUUCGGCCGGACGAAACACAGGUGCUGCAUGGCUGUCGUCAGCUCGUGUCGUGAGAUGUUGGGUUAAGUCCCGCAACGAGCGCAACCCUCACUUUUAGUUGCCAUCAUUAAGUUGGGCACUCUGAAAGAACUGCCAGUGAUAAGCUGGAGGAAGGUGGGGAUGACGUCAAGUCCUCAUGGCCCUUACGUGUUGGGCUACACACGUGCUACAAUGGUAUCUACAACAGGAAGCAAGACUGCGAAGUUAAGCAAAUCCCUAAAAGAUACCUCAGUUCGGAUUGCACUCUGCAACUCGAGUGCAUGAAGCUGGAAUUACUAGUAAUCGUGGAUCAGCGUGCCACGGUGAAUGCGUUCCCGGGUCU
rnacentral:rRNA from 1 species